CGUUACUUUAAACCAUUGCUAACCACCUUGACUAAUAACAUUUCACAUAAUAAAUAAACAAACUAUUGUUUAUCAAUGUUUAUUUAACUAGACGCUCAGUGCAUUUUUUAUUAGACGAACGCCUGCGGAAUGGCUUAAACCAAUCUUGUUUGGGUCCAGUGCAAGACCACUGAGGUUGAGGUUCAGUGGCCGCAAAAGUCACAAGUAAAAAACACAAAAUUCCCAAUAAGGCCUUCAUUUAAAAUUAAAGUUAAUUUUUCCAGCAAAGUGCCUUUAUAUAUAGCUUUUUACAAAAUGGAACUAAUGCGAUUACCACUACUUUAAAAUCUGUAUAAUUACCUUUAUAUUUCACUUGGAAUGCAAGCGAUGGCAAUUGCGCUGCACAAUUUCCUUUAGAAAUAUCGCAACUAUUUUCAAAAGUUUCUCCCAACUUAAUUACUUGUUCGUUUUGAGCGGACUGAAAUUUUUUAUUUCUUCGCACGAUUCCAAAUCGGAUUAGGCGUGCCAACUAUGUUCUUGAUUAAGUGAAUUCGCAAUAUGAGCUUCGCAUGAACUCAUCAAGUUUGUGUGCAAUCUAAUUGCAGCCAGCCUGCUGCUAAUUGCAUGUGUUUGGUGUGGUCGUGUUUUCCUUGGAGUUACGUUCUCUUCGCCAUACAAUUGACCCAUUUUCCAUUUUCCCCACCCUAACCAUCAAAGGGUCGAAAAGGGGGAAGUGAGAGAUUCAAAUACUGGCUGCUCCACUUAACUUGGCCAUUAGCAGAACGCAUAAAUUAUGCUUAUCAUUGGGUAUUAUUUGCACAUGUUCCGCUCGCCGGCUGCAUUGGGAGUUUUUAGUGCCUCAUAAUUGCAAUGGUCCACAACGGUGCCGUAAAAGAGGAGUCAUUUGAAGGAGCAGUUAACCAGGCGGAUCCCAUAAACUGCACAUGGUUGGCAGCCAAAAGGGAUGCAUAGUCGCCAAUUGGAUUUAAUGCACUUCCAGCUGCAGCAGCUUCCGUUUCAAUUUGGAUCCCAAAUGGGGUUAGGAUUAAUAUUAAAUGAGUGAAUGCAUGCUGCAUGAGUGAAUUAUUUACUCGAACUAAAUAACAAAAAAUUUGGCUGAAUUGUGAGUGUCGUUUUGGAGAUUAGAAAUAAGAGACUGCUAUUGUGGGGUUCAUGAAAUGUGGAUAUCUUUUCACUAUUAUAAAAUAUAUUUUAGGACAUUAGCGUUAACAAUAUGUCCUCUAGUAAGCUCGGAAAUUGUAAAGUUUAUGGGGUGGAAGAGCACGCCUCGAACUUCUGGGCACAAUUAGGUGAUACGCUCGGCUAUGUCAUAAUGAACAUGAAGUACAGCGCACUUAGUUUUCCCCCUCCCCCCACCACCCUGAACAAUAUUCGCUCAACAAUGACACAACUCUGCUGCAUAGUUUUCCCCAUUUUCUUUUGUCCCGCUGUUGCUGCAGUUGCUCCUGGCAGCCCACAACCCAACAUUUCCUUUCACAAGGAACAACAAUAAAUUGCAAUACCCCUGCUCCUGCUGCGCGUGAAACCGACGCUAUAUAGUGGUAUAUAGCCAGCUGCCUGAGGCGGAAAGCACAGACCGAGUACCAUUUCCCAAGAAGAACGGGCUUUUCAUUUGCUUUCCACAAUUCCACUUCGCCGUAAUCGACAACACGCAUUCUUCGCAUUUAAAUUGCUUUCGCGUGGAAUUGACAGCAAGGUUGCAGGAGCAGCUGCUGCAUUUCGCCCACCGUUUACUUAAUUUAUUUAAUAACGUGCCACAUUACCAUGAUUCGGACUGGAGUUUAGGUGCCUCCAAUUAUUGCCAAUCGUUUGCCGGCGAGUCCUUGACAUUAAGUUCUUGCCAAACGCUGAUUGCCCACAUGUGUUUCUAAUCACUGUUGCCCGUUAAUUUGCAUAGCAAAACGAAUUCGAUCGGAAUUUAUUUGUAUUUGCUAUUUUGCCUAAUGUGUUUAAAAUACAGCCGACAGCAAAUGCACAAAAUGCGCACGUGACAUGCAAGCGAAUGCAAGUUUUGCUGCGAAAUUGCAAACUUUAUGCAAAACCAAUUUAACUUGGUCCGGGCGCACAAAAAGUUGCAACUUUCUGAUUUCUGCAGCUCGUGCAUGGCCUGAUUUUCAAUAAUUUUGUAAAGCAAUAAAAGCGGAGCAAGUGGAGCAGCCAAAAAUCGCACUCCACGGCUCGAGACAUCCUCGUAAAUCUGCAAGCCGUCCCGAAAAAUGGCGCAUACAAAUGGGUGAAAGGAAAAGCAUUGCCGCAAACAUAAAAAAGUGAAACUCAAUAAUGGCAGGUGCAGUGCGCUUGGCUUUUUUAUCUGGGCCAGGUGAAACCUGCAAUUUUCCGCUGGCCCGAGGCUCCGUUGAUGGGCUAAAGCGCCAUUUAAAUAAGCCGCAAAGAGAUACUGCAUAAAGGACGAGUACUAUGAGUACCAUAUACAUAUAUAUGUAUAUAUGUACUCUUACUAUAUAUAUUUAUCCUUUUCGGCUCAGAGUGACGCCGCCUGUCUUUUUCGUCUUUUGCGCUGCGCUUUGGCCUCAUUAGCGUGCAACGUGGCGUAUGCGUAACGUGUUUCACUCUCACCUGACACACUCCUCCGCCUGAAAGCCCCGUCAACAUAAAUUCCAAAGGCGUCAUGUGCCCGACCCGCGUGACACUACACACAUCGCAUUCACACACAAAAGCCCAACCCCCGUGUGUGAAAAAUGGCCACUGCUAUAAAUACGAUUUGUAUAGCGCUCUAGAGCAAAAAAACAUUGCAAAUAAAGGAAAACUGUCAGCGUGCGCAUUCAUCGAAAGGAGAAA